rnacentral:rRNA from 1 species
UGGGGAAUAUUGCACAAUGGCGGGAACUCUGAUGCAGCGACGCCGCGUGAGUGAUGAAGGAAUUCGUUUCGUAAAACUCUGUUCUAUGGGAAGAAAAGGACUGUACCAUAGGAGAAAGCUCCGGCUAAAUACGUGCCAGCAGCCGCGGUAAUACGUAUGGAGCUAGCGUUGUCCGGAAUUAUUGGGCGUAAAGGGUGCGCAGGCUGCUUUACAAGUUGGAUGUGAAAUAUUGUGGCUCAACCACAAACGUGCAUCCAAAACUGCAAAGCUUGAGUUAAGGAGAGGUAAGUGGAAUUCCUGGUGUAGCGGUGGAAUGCGUAGAUAUCAGGAGGAAUACCGGUGGCGAAGGCGACUUAAUGGACUUAAACUGAAGCUCAGGCACGAAAGGGUGGGGAGCAAACAGG